GUUAGGAAUAUUGGACAAUGGGCGAAAGCCUGAUCCAGCCAUGCCGCGUGAACGAUGAAGGCCUUCGGGUUGUAAAGUUCUUUAGCCGAUGAUUAUAAUGACUGUAGUCGGAAAAUAAGCCCCGGCUAACUUCGUGCCAGCAGCCGCGGUAAUACGAAGGGGGCGAGCGUUAUUCGGAAUCACUGGGCGUAAAGCGUGCGUAGGCGGUUUUGUAAGUUAGGAGUGAAAGCCCAGGGCUCAACCUUGGAAUUGCUCUUAAAACUGCAAGGCUCGAAUCUCGGAGAGGAUAGCGGAAGUUCCAGUGUAGCAGUGAAAUGCGUAGAUAUUGGAAGGAACACCAGUGGCGUAAGCGGCUAUCUGGACGAGUAUUGACGCUGAGGCACGAAAGCGUGGGGAUCAAACAGGAUUAGAAACCCCUGUAGUCC
rnacentral:rRNA from 1 species